rnacentral:rRNA from 1 species
GACGAACGCUGGCGGCGUGCUUAACACAUGCAAGUCGAACGGGAUUUAGUAAACGGAAGCCUCGGUGGAAGAUUACUAAUGAGAGUGGCGAACGGGUGAGUAACGCGUGAGCAACCUGCCUAUGACAGUGGGAUAGCCUCGGGAAACCGGGAUUAAUACCGCAUAAAAUCGUAGAAACACAUGUUUCAACGGUCAAAGAUUUAUCGGUCAUAGAUGGGCUCGCGUCUGAUUAGCUAGUUGGUGAGAUAACAGCCCACCAAGGCGACGAUCAGUAGCCGGUCUGAGAGGAUGAACGGCCACAUUGGAACUGAGACGCGGUCCAAACUCCUACGGGAGGCAGCAGUGGGGAAUAUUGCACAAUGGGGGAAACCCUGAUGCAGCGACGCCGCGUGAACGAAGAAGGUAUUCGUAUCGUAAAGUUCUGUCCUAUGGGAAGAUAAUGACAGUACCAUAGAAGAAAGCUCCGGCUAAAUACGUG